AUACUUACCUGGUUCCGGGGCCUCGUUGAUCACCGCAAAAUGAGCCCCCAGGGCGAGGCGCGGGCAUUGCACUGCGCUCGCGUUCACCCAUGCCACUACCCCAAACUGGGGAAGAUAGGGUAUGCAUAUUGCUUAAAUUUGGUUCACCGCAAGAGAGGGCGCCACC
rnacentral:snRNA from 1 species